rnacentral:rRNA from 1 species
AUGUCUUCCGCAAGCUCCCACGCCACCUCGCGAAUGCAGAGCCAGGCGCGUGUGGAGAUGCCUGUCUUCGUCUGUCCGCGAUGCCGGGCGAGCGUUGAUCGGAGGGUUUCUCACACAACGAGGAACCAGAAUCGUCCGUUCUACGUGUGCAGCGAGAAUGGGGUAUCAUGCUUCUUUCUUUGGGUCGAUCCUCUAGCCAAGACUCUGAUAAAUGAACUGCAAGAAGAGCAUGAAGAAUGGUUGUGCAUGCUGCCCCGAACCGCAGUGGCCGCAUCAAGAGCUCCGGAAGAAGAGAUAGAGGGCGAAGCAGACAGAGAGCUAGUUGUUGAGCUUAGGAUGUUGAAGAAGAAGGUUAGGAAGCUUUAAGAUCAAGCACUACCAAUACCCAUUUGCAAAUACUUUUGGGCAUUUGUAGGUAUGGUAAUCGCACUGGUUGUAAUGUUGAAAAUGUAUGGAAAGGCAUGA